rnacentral:rRNA from 1 species
UACGUAGGUGGCAAGCGUUGUCCGGAAUUAUUGGGCGUAAAGCGCGCGCAGGCGGUCCUUUAAGUCUGAUGUGAAAGCCCACGGCUCAACCGUGGAGGGUCAUUGGAAACUGGGGGACUUGAGUGCAGAAGAGGAGAGUGGAAUUCCACGUGUAGCGGUGAAAUGCGUAGAGAUGUGGAGGAACACCAGUGGCGAAGGCGGCUCACUGGCCCGGUACUGACGCUGAGGUGCGAAAGCGUGGGGAGCAAACAGG